UCUAUGUCGGCGACCGGCGCACGGGUGCGUAACGCGUAUGCAACCUACCCAUUACAGGGGGAUAACACUGAGAAAUCGGUACUAAUACCCCAUAACAUCCAGGGAGGCAUCUUCUUGGGUUGAAAACUCCGGUGGUAAUGGAUGGGCAUGCGUUGUAUUAGUUAGUUGGUGGGGUAACGGCGCACCAAGACAACGAUACAUAGGGGGACUGAGAGGUUAACCCCCCACAUUGGUACUGAGACACGGACCAAACUCCUACGGAAGGCAGCAG
rnacentral:rRNA from 1 species